rnacentral:rRNA from 1 species
ACUCGCUUAGGGCUAAAAUCCUAAGUAACGCCUGCCCAGUGUGUAUAUUAAACGGCCGCAGUAUCUUGACUGUGCAAAGGUAGCAUAAUCACUUGUCUUUUAAUUGGAGGCUUGUAUGAAUGGCGACACGUGACAAAAUCUUUCACACUAUUAAUACUCAAACUUAAUUUACAGGUCAAAAAGCCUGUACUUUUACGCAGGACGAGAAGACCCCGUAGAUCUUGACACUUAAUUUAUAAUUUAAUUAGAAACUAUAAAUAUUAUUAACGUACCGUGUUUGGUUGGGGCGAUCGGAAGCUACUUAACGCUUCCACUAAAUACCUAAAUUAAUGGUUACAAGACCCAGUCGCUGAUCAAAAGAGAAAGUUACCUUGGGGAUAACAGCGUAAUCUAAAUUAAGAGUUCUUAUCAAAAUUUAGGUUUGCGACCUCGAUGUUGGAUUAAGAAACCGUUAAGGAGCAGCAACCUUAAGCGGGGGUCUGUUCGACCUUUAAACUCUUACAUGAUCU